rnacentral:rRNA from 1 species
CCCGCAUUUAGCGCGGGAAUCGAUUAAGUUUGAUCCUGGCUCAGGACGAACGCUGGCGGCGUGCUUAACACAUGCAAGUCGAACGGAGAAUUUAUUUCGGUAAAUUCUUAGUGGCGAACGGGUGAGUAACGCGUGGGCAACCUGCCCUUCAGAUGGGGACAACAUCCCGAAAGGGGUGCUAAUACCGAAUACGAUCACGCUGCCGCAUGGCGGUGUGAUGAAAGAUGGCCUCUAUUUAUAAGCUAUCGCUGAAGGAUGGGCCUGCGUCUGAUUAGCUAGUUGGUGGGGUAACGGCCUACCAAGGCGAUGAUCAGUAGCCGGUCUGAGAGGAUGAACGGCCACAUUGGGACUGAGACACGGCCCAAACUCCUACGGGAGGCAGCAGUGGGGAAUAUUCCGCAAUGGACGAAAGUCUGACGGAGCAACGCCGCGUGAGUGAUGAAGGUUUUCGGACUGUAAAGCUCUGUUGUUUAGGACGAAAGUUGCCUGCUGCAAACAGUUGCAGGUAUUGACGGUCACUGAACGAGGAAGCCACGGCUAACUACGUGCAAGCAGCGCGGUAUACGUAGUGGCAAGCGGUUGUCCCCGGAAUUAUUUGGGCGUAAGAGCAUGUAGUGGGGCUGUUUAGUCUGUUUGUGCAACACUGCGGGGCCCCCCCGUAUUGCGAUGGAACCUGG